rnacentral:rRNA from 1 species
UACGGGGGGGGCAAGCGUUGUUCGGAAUUACUGGGCGUAAAGGGCUCGUAGGUGGCCAACUAAGUCAGACGUGAAAUCCCCAGGCUCAACUUGGGAACUGCGUCUGAUACUGGAUGGCUUGAAUUCGGGAGAGGGAUGCAGAAUUCCAGGUGUAGCGGUGAAAUGCGUAGAUAUCUGGAGGAAUACCGGUGGCGAAGGCGGCUUCCUGGACACCAACUGACGCUGAGACGCGAAAGCGUGGGGAGCAAACAGG